rnacentral:tRNA from 1 species
GGAGAGGUGGCCGAGCGGCUGAAGGCAGCUGCCUGCUAAGCAGUUAUACGUUAACGCGUAUCCAGGGUUCGAAUCCCUGCCUCUCCG